GACGAACGCUGGCGGCGUGCCUAAUACAUGCCAGUAGAACGCUGAAGGAGGAGCUUGCUUCUCUGGAUGAGUUGCGAACGGGUGAGUAACGCGUAGGUAACCUGCCUGUUAGCGUGGGAUAACUAUUGGAAACGAUAGCUAAUACCGCAUAAGAGUAGAUGUUGCAUGACAUUUGCUUAAAAGGUGCCAUUUCAUCACUACCAGCUGGUCCUGCGUCGUAUUAGCUAGUUGGUGAGGUAACGGCUCACCAAGGCGACGAUACGUAGCCGACCUGAGAGGGUGAUCGGCCACACUGGGACUGAGACACGGCCCAGACUCCUACGGGAGGCAGCAGUAGGGAAUCUUCGGCAAUGGACGGAAGGCUGACCGAGCAACGCCGCGUGAGUGAAGAAGGUUUUCGGAUCGUAAAGCUCUGUUGUAAGAGAAGAACGAGUGUGAGAGUGGAAAGUUCACACUGUGACGGUAUCUAACCAGAAAGGGACGGCUAACUACGUG
rnacentral:rRNA from 1 species